rnacentral:rRNA from 1 species
GACGAACGCUGGCGGCGUGCCUAAUACAUGCAAGUCGAGCGGACAGAAGGGAGCUUGCUCCCGGAAGUUAGCGGCGGACGGGUGAGUAACACGUGGGCAACCUACCCUGUAGAUCGGGAUAACAUCGAGAAAUCGGUGCUAAUACCGGAUAAUCAUUUGAAGUGCAUACUUCGAAUGUAAAAGAUGGCUCCGGCUAUCACUACGGGAUGGGCCCGCGGCGCAUUAGCUAGUUGGUAAGGUAAUGGCUUACCAAGGCAACGAUGCGUAGCCGACCUGGGAGGGUGAUCGGCCAACCUGGGACUGAGACACGGCCCAGACUCCUACGGGAGGCAGCAGUAGGGAAUCUUCCGCAAUGGACGAAAGUCUGACGGAGCAACGCCGCGUGAGUGAUGAAGGUUUUCGGAUCGUAAAGCUCUGUUGUUAGGGAAGAACAAGUGCCGUUUGAAUAAGGCGGCACCUUGACGGUACCUAACCAGAAAGCCACGGCUAACUACGUGCCAGCAGCCGCAGUAAUAC